rnacentral:rRNA from 1 species
CGGGAUCNUUNUGGGACCGCGANNNCGGUGGCCGACCGGCCGUCGGACGGUAGUUCUGACGAAACGCGCACGCGUUUACANACGCGUCCGGCCCGACGCAAGUNCAACGUCGUAUNCUUGCGUACNCGCCAAAGCGCGGACGCNAAGUGCGGCGCGUCUGUNUGUUGCANGCCGUGNCAGUCUCGGACUGUGCGCGUCUCUGUCUGCGAUGAUUCAGUUUCGGGCACUCGCAGGACCCGUCUUGAAACACGGACCAAGGAGUCUAGCAUGUAUGCGAGUCAUUGAGAUAANNUAAAACUGAAAGGCGUAACGAAAGUGAAGGCGCGCGCUUGCCGUGCGCUCAGGGAGGAUGGAGCUUCGAUCUAGGUCGAUCUCUCGCACUCCCGAGGCGUCUCGUUUCCAAUCCGUGAAUGUAGGCGCGCUCUGAGCAUAAAUGCUGGGACCCGAAAGAUGGUGAACUAUGCCUGGUCAGCUUUA